UACGUAGGUGGCAAGCGUUGUUCGGAAUUAUUGGGCGUAAAGGGUGCGUAGGCGGUUUGUUAAGUCGGCUGUGAAAGCCUGGGGCUCAACCCCAGAGGGUCGGCCGAUACUGGCAGACUAGAGUACGGAAGAGGUAGCUGGAAUUCCCGGUGUAGCGGUGAAAUGCGUAGAUAUCGGGAGGAAUACCGAUGGCGAAGGCAGGUCUCUGGGCUAUAACUGACGCUCAUGCACGAAAGCGUGGGGAGCAAACAGG
rnacentral:rRNA from 1 species